CAGCCGCCACGGUAAUACGUAGGGUGCAAGCGUUAAUCGGAAUUACUGGGCGUAAAGCGUGCGCAGGCGGUUUUGUAAGACAGAGGUGAAAUCCCCGGGCUCAACCUGGGAACUGCCUUUGUGACUGCAAGGCUGGAGCGCGGCAGAGGGGGAUGGAAUUCCGCGUGUAGCAGUGAAAUGCGUAGAUAUGCGGAGGAACACCGAUGGCGAAGGCAAUCCCCUGGGCCUGCACUGACGCUCAUGCACGAAAGCGUGGGGAGCAAACAGGAUUAGAUACCCCCGUAGUCCCUGUCUCUUAUAC
rnacentral:rRNA from 1 species